GAUGAACGCUAGCUACAGGCUUAACACAUGCAAGUCGCAGGGUAACAUGAGGAAAGCUUGCUUUCCUUGAUGACGACUGGCGCACGGGUGAGUAACGCGUAUCCAACCUUCCCAUAACUACGGGAUAACUCGUUGAAAGACGGCCUAAUACCGUAUGAUAUCGUUUGCUGCCAUCAAAUAACGAUUAAAGUCUUAGCGGUUAUGGAUGGGGUUGCGUCUGAUUAGCUUGUUGGCGAGGUAACGGCCCACCAAGGCGACGAUCAGUGGGGGUGCUGAGAGGAAGCUCCCCCACGAUGGAACCGCGACACGGUCCAAACUCCUACGGGGGGCAGCGGAGAGGUAUAUUAGUCGAGGGGCGAGAGCCUGAACCAGCCAAGUAGGGGGCAGGACGACGGCCCUAGGGGUUGUAAACUGCUUUUAAGUGAGGAGAAAGUGCGUGACGUGGCAUGCAUUGCAGGUACCACAUGAAUAAGGACCGGCUAAUUCCGUG
rnacentral:rRNA from 1 species